UUUGUAACAAACAAAUACACACACACAAAAUAAUAAUAAUAAUUCAAUGGGCAAAAUGAGCUUAGUUUUACUACUACAUUUUUUUAAGUGUACUACACCUAAUGAGGGAAGUUAGGCAGAAUUCAAGAUUUUUAGAUCAUACAAACACUAGAUAUAUAGGGUAUAUUAGAGUUACUUUUUGAUAUGCUGUAAAAAAAGAUAACAUGAAUACCACAUAUUUUGGCACAUACAAAUGCAUAAUGCAUAGAAGUGCCCUAAGCAUUAAACUACUUAAAGUGUUACAUGCACAUCAAUAACACUUUUUAAGCACAACCCUGUAACCAUUUUCACUGAAAAUCUAAGAAAUCAGCUCAAUCUUUUUUGUUGUUGACAGAAAACUAGAAAACCCACAUGCCAAGCAUGCACUGGGUAAAGUUAAAUUCACUCCCCUUAAAUUCACAACCUGAAAAACUGUUGACCCUGCAGAAGCUAAAACACCUCCACUGCUUUUUUUUCUCUUCUAGGUCACUCAGCCUUUUAACUUCCUUUAAUACACAGAGUGGCGCUGCUGGCCUGUUUUGACUGAUCCGACAGAGAGAAGCACAGAAUGCCCUCGGCCUGCUGGUGGCAUUGCUGCUGCUGCUAAAAAGCCCAAAACAUCACGAGAGUGCAGAGCACACAGUGCCAGCUCCAUAUUCAGUUCUGUCAUUUUAGGUGAUGGCUAGCAAUCCUACUGGAUGUGCUGGCUCAAACUUUGGAUCACGUAGGCCUCCUUCAGUCCCAGCUGGACCCUUGUGAGGUCCUGCAUCAUUGUUUGAAAGGGGACCAUAGGAGGGGCGGGCCGGGCAGGUGAUCUUUCCCCCGGUCCAGCCACCAACAAGAGAGCUGACAGUCAAACAGGCACACCAGGAUGGGUGUACCUGCUAUAAUAGGCUGGCUUGCAUACUGGCUGUAGCUGGGGGCAUGAUGGGCAUAGGCACCGUAGCAGGGAGUUGAGGCAUCUACUGACACGCUGGGCUGGAGGGGCAACAGUUCCGCUAGACCCGAGACUGCCAGUGAGGAAGGGGUGAAAGGAGCCAGGGAAGCCUCAUGCGGCUCCUGCUUAACACACGCGGAGGAUGAAUGUGACUCUGCCAGGUGGAGAAAAACAACAAAAAAAGCCACACACACACAAUCAGACAAUGCACAAUCACUCGCACUCAGCAAAAAAAAAAAAAAAAAAAAAAUGAAGAAUGAUUCAUGACAGAUGGAAGUACUGAAUGGAUGCAGUAAAAGAAGAGGAAAAUGAAGUUUGGCUGACAGUGUUUGGUGUUGUUGUGAUGCUACAUUGCGUUUAGGAGGAAAAGAAGGAUUUAUGUGAAGUUCCGAGAGCCGUGGUGUUCUGACUCAGUUCCCCGGGUGUGUUCAAGAGUUUUAACAGAGCCUCCAGAGGCACACGCUCAGAAAACAACAUUUCUACACGCACAAGGGGAUUUGGUCAAGCUGUCAUUAGUACUCCCAGCAACUCUCAGUGAAACAUCGCCUCUCACAAAAAAACAUUAGGAUUGAUAUUUUAUUCCUUAUGGUGGCUUGGUGCCUGGAAUGCAUCUCUUUAAAUUCAGGAAUUGCAACAUAAAUUUAAAAUAGAUCAAAAAUAGAUACUUUUAAUCGUGGACAUUUUUGUUGAUGUAAACAUUGUAUAUAUGUAUAGAUGGAACAGUCACUGAUUUUAUCUUCAGUAGACCAGUCGAACCUCUUAAUUCAAUUUGCUCACAUUAAUAGAGGAAAACAUCAGAUUCCGAAUAUCACAGUUUCCCAUAAUUUGCAAUUUCAAAAAUCUAUAUUUUUGGGGGGAAUUCCAAGAAAAGUUUAAGGCCAGAUGGCCAGUUAUAUUUAUUUGAUAAAACAACAUUUUCCUUGAAUUUUUUCCUUCAUUGUGAUUCUUAAUUUUGGGCCCUGCUUACACUUACGAACAGAAUAGAUUAGAAGUGAAAAUAUAUUUUCAUAGUUGUAAACUAAUCAUAGAAAUCUAUCUUUCUAUCUUUGCAAACUUAUAAUUUGCUCCAUAACAUAAAGCUAUCAACUUUAGCUUUAUAUCUGAAUCUAAAUAAAGCUACAUUUUUAUACAAAUCUGAUUGGAAUUAUUUAUCCGUCAAAUGAGCUAAAAAUGAGCAAAUACAAGCAGGUUCA